UGGGGAAUAUUGGACAAUGGGCGAAAGCCUGAUCCAGCCAUGCCGCGUGAGUGACGAAGGCCUUAGGGUUGUAAAACUCUUUCGUCGGGGACGAUAAUGACGGUACCCGAAGAAGAAGCUCCGGCUAACUUCGUGCCAGCAGCCGCGGUAAUACGAAGGGAGCUAGCGUUGUUCGGAAUCACUGGGCGUAAAGCGCACGUAGGCGGAUAGUUAAGUCAGGGGUGAAAUCCUGGGGCUCAACCCCAGAACUGCCUUUGAUACUGGCUGUCUCGAGGUCGAGAGAGGUUGGUGGAAUUCCUAGUGUAGAGGUGAAAUUCGUAGAUAUUAGGAAGAACACCAGUGGCGAAGGCGGCCAACUGGCUCGACACUGACGCUGAGGCGCGAAAGCGUGGGGAGCAAACAGGAUUAGAUACCCCCGUAGUCCCUGAGCGGGCUGGCAAGGCGCAU
rnacentral:rRNA from 1 species